GUGACUUAGGGUGACCAGCCAUUCUGGUUUGUGUGGGACUGAGGAAUUUGCUGGGAUAUGUCAGUUCCAGGCCAACCAGGCUGGUUGGUCUCCCUGAAAC
ensembl:miRNA cja-mir-584 cja-mir-584